AUUGAACGCUGGCGGAAUGCUUUACACAUGCAAGUCGAACGGUAGAGGGGGCAACCCCUCGAGAGUGGCGAACGGGUGAGUAAUAUAUCGGAACGUGCACAGUCGUGGGGGAUAACGUAGCGAAAGUUACGCUAAUACCGCAUACGAUCUAAGGAUGAAAGCGGGGGAUCGCAAGACCUAGCGCGAUUGGAGAGGCCGAUAUCAGAUUAGGUAGUUGGGGGGGUAAAGGCCCACCCAGCCAACGAUCUGUAGCUGGUCUGAGAGGACGACCAGCCACACUGGAACUGAGACACGGUCCAGACCACUACGGGAGGCAGCAGUGGGGAAUUUUGGACAAUGGGCGGAAGCCUGAUCCAGCAAUUCCGCGUGCAGGAUGAAGGCCCUCGGGUUGUAAACUGCUUUUGUACAGAACGAAAAGGUUUCUACUAAUACUGGGAGCUCAUGACGGUACUGUAAGAAUAAGCACCGGCUAACUACGUGCCAGCCGCCGCAGUAA
rnacentral:rRNA from 1 species